rnacentral:lncRNA from 1 species
GAGUUAGACCCACAGGUAACAAAGUCAACUGAUGUAACAGGCUCUGUAUGUGGGCUGCGGUUUGCUGCUUUAGAGCUAGGAAAGGCCUAGAGGAUGGGGCAUCGAGGAAGGACAUAUACUUUGGAUUUGGGGUUGAACAAUGAAGUCAGAGUCAACUUAUCCAGUACGCAUGUUCUACAGACCGGCCUUCCAGAGAUGGGGCUGGCCUCAUGGCAUGUGAUGAUCAUGAGGAGUUAGCUUCUGUUGUCCAGAUGCUGGAUGUAGCCAAGAGCCUAAGCCAGCGAAGUAAACCCUGGUGGGUUUCACCAGAAGCCACUGGCUCACCUAUGGUAUACAGGAUGGAUGAUGGCAAGACUAAGCCUGUCUCAAUGUGGGAUAUCUGAAUUUACACACACUCCAAUAAAUUGUGGAAUUACACAGCA